rnacentral:rRNA from 1 species
CGCCUGUUUUUACAAAAACAUGUCCUCUUGAGUAUAAUUUGAGGUCUGACCUGCUCACUGACAAGGUUUUAAAGAGCCGCGGUAUUUUGACCGUGCAAAGGUAGCAUAAUCAUUAGUCUCUUAAUUAGAGGCUGGAAUGAAUGGUUUGACGAGAAAUCAACUGUCUCUUAAUAAUUUUUAAAAUUUAACUUUUAAGUCAAAAGGCUUAAAUUUUUCUUUAGGACGAGAAGACCCUAUAGAGCUUGACAUUUUAUUUUUAUAUAGUUUUUAGCUAGUUUUUCUAUAUUUAAUGAUAAUGUUUUGUUGGGGUGACAUGAAGAAUAAAUAAACUCUUCAUUAUAAAAUCAUUGAUUUAUGUUUAUCAUGAUCCAUAAUUUAUGAUCAUAAGAUUAAGUUACCUUAGGGAUAACAGCGUAAUUGUUUUUGAGAGCUCAUAUUGACAAAACAGAUUGCGACCUCGAUGUUGGAUUAAGAAAAAUUUUGGGUGCAGGAGCUCAAUAAUUAGGUCUGUCGACUAUC